rnacentral:rRNA from 1 species
UGGGGAAUAUUGGGCAAUGGGCGCAAGCCUGACCCAGCAACGCCGCGUGAGGGAAGAAGGUUUUCGGAUUGUAAACCUCUGUCCUCAGGGACGAAGGAAGUGACGGUACCUGAGGAGGAAGCCCCGGCUAACUACGUGCCAGCAGCCGCGGUAAUACGUAGGGGGCGAGCGUUGUCCGGAAUUACUGGGCGUAAAGGGCGCGCAGGCGGCCGAUCAAGUCAGAUGUGAAACCCCGGGCUCAACCUGGGAACUGCAUUUGAAACUGGUUGGCUUGAGUGCAGGAGAGGAAAGCGGAAUUCCUAGUGUAGCGGUGAAAUGCGUAGAUAUUAGGAAGAACACCAGUGGCGAAGGCGGCUUACUGGGCACUAACUGACGCUGAGGCUCGAAAGCAUGGGUAGCAAACAGGAUUAGAUACC